CAUAUUGCAUUUCAUUCGAUAAACACUAGUGGUCCUUUACCUCGUGGUGGCGAUGCUGUUUCCUUUGAACCAAAAAGCAACCAAAGAAGAAGCAACACGCGGGAACAGUCGUUUCUCAGCAGCGAGCAACGUGUUCAUCUCUCUCUUCAGGAGUUAUUAAAACAACGGAGAUACAGUCAGUAUAAUGGAGCUACUGGUUAAAACACCGACGAAAAGAAGAUGCCGAUUAAGGCGAUUUAAUCGGGGAGGCGAUUUGGCAGGGAAGAAGAAAAACAGUGAAGGUCAUUUAAGUGAGAAGCAGGAUUUUGAAAGGUGGGAUAUUUGAGUGUCUGUGGAGGCCUCUGAGAAGAGUCUGGAGACUCCUGCGCUGCCGUGGACCUGAAAUAAAACUUUCAGUGGAAGAAACCUCACCACAUUUUAGUGGCCAUAGCUCUGUCCGUCCGUGGUGAAGAGCCUCAAGUUGUUUCUCUUCACUGAGGUGAGAUGAUCAUUUUGAAUGAAUUGAUGUCCAGCCAUACAACAGAGUUCUUGGACCUACAUUUUAAACCCAAGUUUAAAGACUGAGAAGAUGGAUAUUCUUCCUCUCAAAUCAUCUGCCCUGCUGUUCAAUAUAUCCGCCUGACCGCCAUACCAACAUGGAAUGGAUUUCUACUUCCAGAAUGUAAUGUGUAACAACCAAGGUACUUUGUCAUUUCUGCCUACUCAGGGGACCAUAAUUUGCACAAGCUUCUCCGUGGUUGUCUCCUCAAACCUCUGGACACCAUGAUCUUCUUUUUUGCCAAACUGACAAAGACAGUAGUGCACAAACAGACCUAAGUUGGUUGGUUUAGGUCCAUGCAUGGAGGCAUUAGCUGGCCAACUUGAACAUAAUGAAGCGCUGUACAAAUGAAGUGCUAUACCAAUGAAGUGUCCUUAGAUUUUAGAUUUUUGUUGUUUUAAAUAUUGUCUAAAAGCUGUGCAUGAAUAUUUUCAUACAUGAAUCAUGAUUCAUCCAUAGCUUCAUAAUUUUUUAGUAAAUUUGCCAAGUUUUUACACCAACUUUGUUUGCUCUCAGAUGAGAAUGCACCUCUACAGAGCAAGGUCAGGUUGACAUUCGUUGUGAAUCUGAACUUUAUGCACUUAAAUAUGCAGCAACUUAUAAGUGACUGUGGCCUGAUAUCUUUUGAUAUGUUUCCAUUAGGUUUCGUGCUGGUCAGUUCUCCACAGGGUAGUUAAUGAUUGUGUCUAGUACUUACAAUGGUUUCUUACAAUGGAUUGUACCACUGCUGAUGGAUUUUUCAUGCUGUUCUACUUGAACCUCUUAAGCCCAAGACACACUGCACGAUUUGAGCAAUUCUAUAAGAUCAUUGCAUGUCACACUGUGUGACAUGGAUCUAAUAAACUUGGCUAUGACGUAGACUGUACGUUGAUGACACCUAUUGACUCGUACGCUACGACACACGUUACUGUAGAAGAAUAUAACGUCAUCAGCAAUGCACUAGUGGAAAACUAAAAGAGCAUGAUAAAUCACACUUUAGCAGUUGUAGUUUUUAUGUGUGCUAACAAAAAACUGUAAUCAGCAAAAGAGGAUGGCAUAAGAGCUUGAGCAGUUUUAUGUUUUAGAGCCAUGUCGCAUUGAUUUCAUGUCACAUUUUUAUUGGUUGGUCAGUGAAUGUGGAUCGUAGCAGCAAACACACUGCGAUGAUCAUGCUGAAUUUCUGACACUGUCAGAAAACUAUCUUAGGGUAUCUUUGGUCGCAAGACCGUAACAACGGCUGACCUCUCACUGUAUGACACAGGACCACCGAUUAGGAGUCAUGAUCACUGAAAUCGCCACUAUUGUUUCACGAUGCCAAUCUUUUGUCUGGGACAGCCGAAAAUCAUGCAGUGUUUCAGACUUGAACGGGAUAGUUCACCAAAAAAUUUAAAGUCUGUCAGUACUUUGUGGAAGUCACACACACACACAAAAAUAUAUUUUGAAGAAUGUUGGUAAGCAAACUGUUUUGGUUACCAUUGACUUCCACUGUAUGGCCAAAAACCCCACUUAAAAACAUUACGGGGAGUGAAGUGAGAACUUAAGCUGAUUUGUUCCUUCAGGCAGAGGCUUGUCACUCAGAGCAUGACGGUUUGCAGUCAUGAUUAGGAAUGUAAUUUAUAAUAGGCCUAUGUGGAGAUACAGUUAGGUGCAUGACAUUAUCAUUAUGCUGAUACACUCUCUACCUUACUUUGUGCUAAAUUCCAACCAAGUUAGGAACAGAAGAAAGAUUUCUAUAUUUGGCUCUCAAGGAUAAAACCAACAGUUUAGUGUCCCUUUCUAUUUAUAUGCAUGCACCAAAACCUGUCCGGUUGGAUUUUGGGCAUUUAGGGAUUCCCCUAAAAUCCAAGAAACAUGGGAUUUCUUCAGGAGUGUUGCAACAAACAUUUUGUCACCAUUACUUGAGUAUUAGGCAUUUAGGAUGUUAGGAUGUUCUCACAACAUGCCUACACUGGAAGGAAGUGACAAAAUAAAUCACUUCCAUUUGCUACCAGCAAAGCUUUCUACAGUGCAAAUUAGCAAUAUUGUGUGUUUUGCAUGCGUCUUAAUGGCAGUCACGACAUGUGUCAGUUACAUUUGAGUAGAUUUUUUUAAUUACAGCUUGAGGGUUUGGAGGGGGUUUGUUUUAACAACACUGGUUGUUUUGUUUGAUUUAGCCCCCAAAUGUGACAGACACAAUGAUGCUGUUGUGACGCUUACCUUCAUAAUAGGAAGGAAACUCGCCUGCUUGUAAUUUUUUUGUGAAACCAAAGGUCUUAAGUAGUUUAGGUGGAUUUGAUCAGAUGACAAACCCUGUCCUAAAGGUUUUUGCUAAAUUGUGCCUUCUUUUGCUCAUUUAUUUAGAUUUUUGUAAAGAAAAGUUGACAAACACUGUUUGUAUAAAGUUGUUAAAUAUUUAAGGUAAUAUUAGUGUAUUUACUGUUCAAAAAGAGAUAUAUGAAUGCAAUUCUGUGAUAUGUGGUAUAUAUUAUUUGUUUGUUUCAUAAUGCAACAUCUGUUAUCACACAGCCUGAAUGUGUAAUGUUGUGAACUAAUAAACUUAAAUGAUCUAAAUCCAUUUUG